GGCGAGAAGGCUCCGGCAGCGCGGUGAGGACAUGAAGUCACUAGGCACCCUGACAAAAUAAUUGGAAUCAAAAACUCAACCAAAAUCCUGCGGUUUCAACUACAUCAGAACAAGAAUUAGUGCAACUUCAAAGGAUAGGAAGUUUGUAAUCAGAAUACAACAGAAGCACAGCAAGAUGACUGCAGCAAGCAUAGCUUUCUCUACACCAACCUAGAAUAUAACUUUUGCCAUGGAAGAUUUCUGCUGUAUUCUUAUGGUCAAUUUCUGCCUUCAUUUACAUCUGUUCAGCUGAGAUGCCAGAGAGAGGAAUAAGUGGUGCAAAUUUGACUUUUGUAUGUCAGGUGAAAGAAAUAAUGGUUCUAGGCAUCAGCCUCAGUUUGUGGUUUGGCUUCCUAUUUCAGUCAUCUCUCUCCAAGUAGAAACAUGAGGUUGAGAAAGCUACAGCCCAUUCUGUUCUUGGACCUUCUCUGAAAGUCACUUUGCUUUCUCAAACUUGUUUAACUUCUAGUAUUUUGGGACUUCACAUUCAUUCUUCCUUUUUUUCUUCUUCUUCUUUUAGGCUGUUACUGGAGAAAAAUGAGAGCAGUCCUUGCUGCCUGUUUUCACACAUUGUACCAGAGAAGCAGGCCCCUCAGGCAGACCUCUCCCUUUACAGACUGACCCAUAGCCAAGCCACCAUACUGUACGGACAUCCCUCCCUGUCUCCUUGAUCAUUUUAACUUCAACCACAAGCUCUUUUUACAGUAAGAUAGUAACAUGAAAAAGUAGCCCAACCUGAAAACCUUUCAUGUCUUGGGCUUCCCUUUCUCAUCUAGGUGAAGGGAUAUGUUGCUUUCCCUUCACUUAAGAUUCAGUUCUUAAAAAUAAUGUCACUGCUGUUUUGUUUUAAAGGAAUAAAUCCCUGGCUCUUCACUGUCCCCUAAUGCCAGUGCUUCUUCCAGCAAUUAGAUGAUCAGAUAGUAUGGUGAUGAGAGACAUAUGGAUGGAUUCAAAUACUGUUUGCCCCUGCUGUGCUUGUACAGCUCUUUUAUAUCUGCAAACUUCCACUGAAGGCAAAGGAAGAUUUGCCUAUAUAAGAACAUACAGAUAGAAGGGAUUACAGUUCUUAAAAUGGCUACCCAGGAUUCUUUUGCUGGUCCAAAUUUGUAUAAAUGGUACAUGAAAUGAAGCACUGAUCUCCUUAAAAAGGAUGGUAAGUCUUUGUCUUAGAAUUCUCUUCCUGUGGCACACUUACAUAUGAACCACGCCACCAGUGUGUUUGUAACUGAAAUGUGACACCCUACUCUCACCCCUCAAAUUGGAUAAUGACAAGAACAUUUUCUCCCUGAAUUCUUAAUCAAUUCCCUUAAUUGUAAUUUACAUCUUGUAUAAUUGCAAUGGAUAAUGUUUGUGAUUAGUUAAGGACUCCACUUUGCAUUGACAUUUAAUUGUGUCCCAGUAUGUUAUCUUCAUUAGAAAGUGAUUUCUGAAUUACUAUCCUGUACAGAUUUUUCUCAAAGAAAAGCCUCCAGGUACCUCUGCACAAGUCCCCCUCAGCCUGUAGAGUCCAUUCUGUCAAAUGCAAUUCCUUUCAAUAAAUCAGACAUAAUC